UAAAAGAUACUGGUUCAUAUCUGUUCAGUGCUAAUGUCAUUAUAGGCACUAUCAACAGCAUUGUCUGUAACCUGUUUUCAGAUUGCCCUGUGCCUAUUGGCACAACCAGAAUGAACACAACAAUCCGAAAACAGUUUACAGACAAUGCUGUUGAUAGUGCCUACAGCACCAUUAGCACUGGACCAAUAUGAACCGCCAUCUUUUAUUCCAGAGCUGUCUUUCUAGUAUUCGUACAAAAUCUUGAACGAAAAAGUUUCGGUUUGUCACAUUGGCGGCUACUGUAGCUGUGUCUUCAUCACAUUACUUAUCGUGAAUAAGUACAAUGACGAAUAUGGCCUACAGCUUUUGUUCCAUUUUAUAAGUUGUUGUCCCAACCAUGCCAACUACCUUGCUGCUCUUUUGUCAGGCUCCCACUGCUGCAGUGUACAACAUGCAUUACACGAGCUUCUUAUUCCAUGUGUUCAAGAGCUGUUUACUUCCACAUAGCUGACAAGAUAUCAGUGUAGUGCAGUUCUCCAAUGGCAGUACCCCAAUGUCUGAGUUGUAGAUUUCAUUGUUCGUGCCACGGUAUAGUAUAUUUAUUGCAGUGUAUGUGAAGCCUGCCGGUACCUGUAUCAGGCUGGUUUGAAAAAUUCUGCAGCGAGAAGUGGCAAGAACAGUGCGGUCACCUAGGGAGCUCCACGGACAGAUCAUGACUGCAAAGCGGCGCCAGCAGUUGCUGCUGUCACGAGUUGCUUUCAGGAGUACACUGCCACGAAGCCCAGCCGCAAAGGCAGAAGUCUGACUGAGUGAAUUGAUCCAAUUAACGGCUACUUGGCUGACUUCCUAAAAAGGCUCAAACACUCACGUCUCAUCCCAUCAUCUUGCGGACUGCCACACAUACCCAUGCCAUACAGCAAGGUCGGGGGCCAUACAGGCUAUGGACUCCAUAGGAGGCCAUACAGUGUACGGACUGCCAUAGGAGGCCAUUCAGUGUACGGACUGCC